rnacentral:rRNA from 1 species
CAGCCGCCACGGUAAUACGGAGGAUCCAAGCGUUAUCCGGAUUUAUUGGGUUUAAAGGGUGCGUAGGUGGCCUGUUAAGUCAGGGGUGAAAGACGGUAGCUCAACUAUCGCAGUGCCCUUGAUACUGACGGGCUUGAAUGAACUAGAGGUAGGCGGAAUGUGACAAGUAGCGGUGAAAUGCAUAGAUAUGUCACAGAACACCAAUUGCGAAGGCAGCUUACUAUGGUUUUAUUGACACUGAGGCACGAAAGCGUGGGGAUCAAACAGGAUUAGAUACCCCUGUAGUCCCUGUCUCUUAUAC